AGCUGUGUCCUUCCGGGAAGGAGUUGGCCUCCAAAACCAACAAGCUCAGUUCGACUCUGAGCAUGGCUGCCA
rnacentral:tRNA from 1 species